CACAACAAAAUCAACUAUUGUUUUUCCUAGUUUAAUUACAAGAUUAUGCAAGAACCAUAUAUGGAUAUCCCAUAUCGCUACCAUUUCUUACUAAAUACUAAUCUAUAUAAUGUUUUUGUAUCUUUCCACUUCACGACCUAAAGGAGAAAGGGACCACGACUACCACUAACUCCUCAUACCGAACCAUUCGAGUAUCAACAAGGGAUGUCAAGCUUUGAUGCCAUGAACCUAAACUUUAGAGCUUAUUUCAAAUAUAGUUGGUAUGUCAGCAACACAUAUCACAAAGGUAUGAUUUCUCUCAAACAAUCCAUGUAUAGAUUGAUGUUGAGGAUGCAGGACCCAAAAUUUCUAAUUGGGCCAGUACUUACCUAUGAGAACUUAUGCAACUACCUCCAAUGGCCUAUGAGCAUGCCAUUAUACUAAGGAGGUGGAAAUGGUGAUGCUAGUGUUAAUGGGGAGGGUAAUAUUCAAGAAGAUAAUGAAGAAGAGGAAGAGAAGGAAAGUAAAAAGAAGAGGAUAGAAGUGAAGAAAUAACGACAUAAGAUGAUGAUUAGACUUCUUCCGCACUUUGACCACCAACACCGUGGAUCUUAUUUUCUUUACUUUACUGUUUUCUAAGUUAAAUCCUAUUAAUUUUUGAGCAAUUUAUGUUUUAUGUAAUUUACUAACAAUGUCAUGGACAAGAGGAAUAUUGGACACGGUGGUCAUUUUGUAUUGAGUACUUGAACAUCUCCAAAUUCUUAAAAUAUCUAAGUAUAUGUUAGGACAUCAAUUAUGUUGAAUACAUGUGUGCUUUAAUGAAUUUGUGCAUGAGUUUGAACAA
rnacentral:lncRNA from 1 species